GCGCGCUUAGCUCAGUUGGCUAGAGCAACCCGUUUACACCGGGUAGGCCGGGGGUUCAAGUCCCUCAGCGCGCA
rfam:Candidatus Nomurabacteria bacterium RIFCSPLOWO2_01_FTLL_33_24 rifcsplowo2_01_scaffold_3436, whole genome shotgun sequence.